rnacentral:misc_RNA from 1 species
UUUCCGUAGGUGAACCUGCGGAAGGAUCAUUAUUGUGUAACCGAGGUGCGAGGGCUGUCGCUGACCCGAAAGGUCGUGCACGCCCGAGUGCCCUCACACACAUCCAUCUCACCCAUAUGUGCACCACCGCGUGGGUCCCCCUUUGGCUUGUUCGGAGGGGGGCUUACGUUUUCACACAAACUUUGUAUGCAGUGUAGAAUGUAUUUUUUGUUUUUGCGAUCACGCAAUCAAUACAACUUUCAACAACGGAUCUCUUGGCUCUC